rnacentral:lncRNA from 1 species
ACGAAACUUGAUGAACGAUUUUGUUCCUAAAAAUUUAUGAUCCGUUGUUCUACUUGAAAACAUAGUAACACGUAGGUACAUUUUGGGGUUUUUUUGUUGUUUUUUGGUACCAGGGAUUGAACUCAGGACCUUGCGCUUUCGAGGCAGGAGGAGGCACCACUGAGCUAAAUCCCUGGCCCACAGCAUUGCCAGCAAUCCAAGAAAGGAGAAAAUAAUUGGGGAGGAAAAGCUUUCUGUGACCUUAUCAAAUGAAGCACCUUACUGAUAAGCUGCAGCAGACACAGCCAGGACGGAGAGAACGAGCACAGAAAAGCUGGCCUGCAUUACUGAACACAAAUGCUUGCUAAAAGCAAGGUGCUGCUGUCUCACUAAACCCUAAACAACCUUCUAUGAUGCAGUAUUUGGAGGUUGACCUGGACUUAGCUGUGUUAAGCUGCCUGCACCACAGGAAACCACCUCCCUCGCUGCUGCUUGCUGCUUUCUCUUUAGCCAACACCCAAAGCCACUGCCAGUGUCAGGGAGAUGAGACUUCACAGGGAUGAAAAAUAUCUCCAUACAAGAUUAUCUGGAAAAUUGAUCCAAGCAGGAUGAGAUACCAUGUAGUAGUAUUCAGUCUUCAGAGUUGGUGGUCUGAACUUGAAAUUUUUCAGUUAUUCUACAUCAAGUCCUGAACUACUGGUUAGUGUGAAGAAGGAAGGAGCAGGACGUCUGCUGAGGCUAGAAGCAGUGAGGCUGUCACUAGCAGGCUGGGGACCUGAGAAGCACUGUGGAUGGGCGGAAGCAGCUGCACUAGGGACCUCAGAAGUGGACACCUGGAGAAGACACAUGUCCAGGGCACUUGGGAGCCAACAGAAAUUGAUCUUAGCUGGGGAUUAGAUGGAUGCUUAUUCUCUCUCUCUCUCUCUCUCUCUCUCUCUCUCUCUCUCUCUCUCUCUCUCUCUCUCCCCCUCUCUCCCUCUCUCUCCCCCUCUCUCUCCCUCUCUCUCCCCCUCUCUCUCCCCCUCUCUCUCCCCCUCUCUCUCUCCCUCUCUCUCCCCCUCUCUCUCCCCCUCUCUCUCCC